UACGUAGGGUGCGAGCGUUGUCCGGAAUUAUUGGGCGUAAAGGGCUCGUAGGCGGUUUGUCACGUCAGGAGUGAAAACUCGGGGCUCAACCCCGAGCCUGCUUCUGAUACGGGCAGACUAGAGGUAUGCAGGGGAGAACGGAAUUCCUGGUGUAGCGGUGAAAUGCGCAGAUAUCAGGAGGAACACCGGUGGCGAAGGCGGGUCUCUGGGCCGAUACUGACGCUGAGGAGCGAAAGCGUGGGGGAGCGAACAGG
rnacentral:rRNA from 1 species